UACGUAGGGUGCAAGCGUUAAUCGGAAUUACUGGGCGUAAAGGGCGCGUAGGCGGAUAGUUUAGUCAGAGGUGAAAGCCCAGGGCUCAACCUUGGAAUUGCCUUUGAUACUGGCUAUCUUGAGUUCGGGAGAGGUGAGUGGAAUGCCGAGUGUAGAGGUGAAAUUCGUAGAUAUUCGGCGGAGCACCAGUGGCGAAGGCGACUCACUGGCCCGAUACUGACGCUGAGGCGCGAAAGCGUGGGGAGCAAACAGG
rnacentral:rRNA from 1 species